AGUUGUUAAUAUGUCUUGCUAAUCUCUAAUUAUUAUUGCAUUUCUCAUUAAUCUCUAAUUGUUGAUGCAUUUCUUAUUAAUAUUCAAUUAUUGAUGUACUUCUCAUCAAAAUCUAAUUGUUGAGUACUUUUCAUCAAUACAAUUAUUGAUGCACUUCUCAUCAAAAUCUAGUUGUUAAUACACUUCUCAUAAAUUUUCAAUUAUUGAU
rnacentral:lncRNA from 1 species